CCAGAUGGAGUAACUUCAGCAAAC
rnacentral:piRNA from 1 species